rnacentral:rRNA from 1 species
UUGGACGACUCUCGGCAACGGAUAUCUAGGCUCUCGCAUCGAUGAAGAACGUAGCGAAAUGCGAUACUUGGUGUGAAUUGCAGAAUCCCGUGAACCAUCGAGUCUUUGAACGCAAGUUGCGCCCGAGGCCAUUCGGCCGAGGGCACGUCUGCCUGGGCGUCGCGC